CAGUCGCCGCGGUAAUACGAGGGGGGCAAGCGUUGUUCGGAAUUAUUGGGCGUAAAGGGCGCGUAGGCGGUUUGGCAAGUUUGGUGUGAAAUCUUCGGGCUCAACUCGAAGUCUGCAUCGAAAACUGCCGGGCUUGAGUGUGGGAGAGGUGAGUGGAAUUUCCGGUGUAGCGGUGAAAUGCGUAGAUAUCGGAAGGAACACCUGUGGCGAAAGCGGCUCACUGGACCACAACUGACGCUGAGGCGCGAAAGCUAGGGGAGCAAACAGGAUUAGAUACCCGCGUAGUCCCUGUCUCUUAUAC
rnacentral:rRNA from 1 species